UACAGAGGGUGCGAGCGUUGUCCGGAAUCAUUGGGCGUAAAGCGUUUGUAGGCUGUUAAGCAAGUCUGAAGUGAAAGAAUGGAGCUCAACUCCAUCCACGCUUUGGAAACUGCUUAACUAGAGAGUCUUAGGGGUAAGUGGAAUUUCCAGUGUAGCGGUGAAAUGCGUAGAUAUUGGAAGGAACACCAGUAGCGAAGGCGACUUACUGGGAGACAUCUGACGCUGAGAAACGAAAGCUAGGGGAGCAAAUGGG
rnacentral:rRNA from 1 species